AAUAUUGGACAAUGGGGGCAACCGUGAUCCAGCCAUGCCGCGUGUGUGAAGAAGGUCUUCGGAUUGUAAAGCACUUUACGUUGGGAGGAAGGGCCUUAGGUUAAUACCCUGAAGUUUUGACGUUACCAACAGAAUAAGUACUGGCUAACUCUGUGCCAUCAGCCGCGGUAAUACAGAGGGUGCAAGCGUUAGUCGGAAUUACUGGGCGUAAAGCGCGCGUAGGUGGUUCAGUAAGAUGGGUGUGAAAUCCCCGGGCUUAACCUGGGAACUGCUUUCAUAACUGCUGAGCUAGAGUACGGUAGAGGGUAGUGGAAUUUCCUGUGUAGCGGUGAAAUGCGUAGAUAUAGGAAGGGACACCAGUGGCGAAGGCGACUACCUGGACUGAUACUGACGCUGAGGUGCGAAAGCGUGGGGAGCAAAC
rnacentral:rRNA from 1 species